rnacentral:rRNA from 1 species
UACAGGGGGGGCAAGCGUUGUUCGGAAUUACUGGGCGUAAAGGGUUCGUAGGUGGCCACUUAAGUCAGACGUGAAAUCCCUCAGCUUAACUGGGGAACUGCGUCUGAUACUGAGUGGCUUGAGUGCAGGAGAGGGAUGCGGAAUUCCAGGUGUAGCGGUGAAAUGCGUAGAUAUCUGGAGGAACACCGGUGGCGAAGGCGGCUUCCUGGACCGACACUGACGCUGAGGCGCGAAAGCUAGGGGAGCAAACGGG